rnacentral:misc_RNA from 1 species
GUAUGACAAAUCAGCAGGUAGAAGCUGAAAGGUUAGCCAAUCUUUGAUUCUAACUACUAAGAUACAAAACAGGACAAAUGUCGCUCUAGACACUGCAUUAUCUUAAUAAAUUAACAAGAAAUAUUGUGGGUUUGCUAUAUAACACAGUAAAAUAAAUGAAUAGAAAACACAGGAUGUUCCUUUUUUCAUUUAUCCUUCUGAAAUUUCUCCACAUAAGCCUGUACAAGUUUGGUCAGCCUCGGCUUUGAAAAUGACAAAUAGUGUUGAAUUUUUUC